rnacentral:rRNA from 1 species
CAGCAGCCACGGGAAUACAGAGGGUGCAAGCGUUAAUCGGAAUUACUGGGCGUAAAGCGCGCGUAGGUGGUUUGUUAAGUUGGAUGUGAAAUCCCCGGGCUCAACCUGGGAACUGCAUCCAAAACUGGCAAGCUAGAGUAUGGUAGAGGGUGGUGGAAUUUCCUGUGUAGCGGUGAAAUGCGUAGAUAUAGGAAGGAACACCAGUGGCGAAGGCGACCACCUGGACUGAUACUGACACUGAGGUGCGAAAGCGUGGGGAGCAAACAGGAUUAGAUACCCGAGUAGUCCCUGUCUCUUAUAA